AGAGUUUGAUCAUGGCUCAGGACGAACGCUGACGGUGUGCUUUAGGCAUGCAAGUCGAACGAGAAAACCCUUCGGGGUGAGUAAAGUGGCGAACGGGUGAGUAACACGUGGGCAACCUGCCCCUCGCAGGGGGACAACCGGAGGAAACUCCGGCUAAUACCCCGUAAGCUCUACACGCCGCAUGGCGAGUAGAGGAAAGGUAGCUUCGGCCAUCCGGCGAGGGAUGGGCCCGCGGUGCAUUAGCUAGUUGGUGGGGUAACGGCCCACCAAGGCGACGAUGCGUAGCUGGUCUGAGAGGGAUGAUCAGCCACACUGGGACUGAGACACGGCCCAGACUCCUACGGGAGGCAGCAGCCAGGAAUCUUGGGCAAUGGGCGAAAGCCUGACCCAGCAACACCGUGUGGGUGAUGAAGGCCUUCGGGUCGUAAAGCCCUGUUGUUGGGGACGAAGGGCGAAGGGUUAAUAGCCCCUAGCUUGACGGUACCCUUCGAGGAAGCCCCGGCUAACUACGUGCCAGCAGCCGCGGUAAUACGUAGGGGGCGAGCGUUGUCCGGAAUUAUUGGGCGUAAAGAGCGUGUAGGCGGCUUGGUAAGUCUGCCGUGAAACCCCGGGGCUCAACCCCGGGCGUGCGGUGGAUACUGCCAGGCUAGAGGAUGGUAGAGGCGAGUGGAAUUCCCGGUGUAGCGGUGAAAUGCGCAGAUAUCGGGAGGAACACCAGUAGCGAAGGCGGCUCGCUGGGCCAUUCCUGACGCUGAGACGCGAAAGCUAGGGGAGCGAACAGGAUUAGAUACCCUAGUAGUCC
rnacentral:rRNA from 1 species